rnacentral:rRNA from 1 species
UUAUUGUGAAACUCUGAGAAUAAAACAUAAAUGAAUCAAAACUUUCAACAACGGAUCUCUUGGUUCUGGCAUCGAUGAAGAACGCAGCGAAAUGCGAUAAGUAAUGUGAAUUGCAGAAUUCAGUGAAUCAUCGAAUCUUUGAACGCACAUUGCGCCCUCUGGUAUUCCGGAGGGCAUGCCUGUUCGAG